rnacentral:rRNA from 1 species
GACGAACGCUGGCGGCGUGCCUAAUACAUGCAAGUGGGACGCAAGAGAACACACUGUGCUUGCACACCGUGUUUUCUUGAGUCGCGAACGGGUGAGUAACGCGUAGGUAACCUUCCUAUUAGCGGGGGAUAACUAUUGGAAACGAUAGCUAAUACCGCAUAAUAUUAAUUAUUGCAUGAUAAUUGAUUGAAAGAUGCAAGCGCAUCACUAGUAGAUGGACCUGCGUUGUAUUAGCUAGUUGGUAAGGUAAGAGCUUACCAAGGCGACGAUACAUAGCCGACCUGAGAGGGUGAUCGGCCACACUGGGACUGAGACACGGCCCAGACUCCUACGGGAGGCAGCAGUAGGGAAUCUUCGGCAAUGGACGAAAGUCUGACCGAGCAACGCCGCGUGAGUGAAGAAGGUUUUCGGAUCGUAAAGCUCUGUUGUAAGUCAAGAACGUGUGUGAGAUGUGGAAAGUUCACAG